rnacentral:rRNA from 1 species
CAAACGACUCUCGGCAACGGAUAUCCCGGCUCUCGCAUCGAUGAAGAACGUAGCGAAAUGCGAUACUUGGUGUGAAUUGCASAAUCCCGUGAACCAUCGAGUUUUUGAACGCAWGUUGCGCCCGAUGCCAUUAGGCUGAGGGCACGUCUGCCUGGGUGUCACGU